GAGUUUGAUCAUGGCUCAGAACGAACGCUGGCGGCAGGCCUAAGACAUGCAAGUCGUACGAGAAAGCCCUUUCGGGGGUGAGUAGAGUGGCGAACGGGUUAGUAACGCGUGGGAACAUACACAGCACAGGGGGAUAACCAUUGGAAACGAUGGCUAAUACCGCAUACGCCCUAUGGGGGAAAGAUUUAUCGGUGUUGGAUUGGCCCGCGUUAGAUUAGCUAGUUGGUGGGGUAAUUGCCUACCAAGGCGACGAUUUAUAGCUGGUUUGAGAGGAUGAUCAGCAACACUGGAACUGAGACACGGUCCAGACUCCUACGGGAGGCAGCAGUCGGGAAUAUUGUGCAAUGGGGGCAACCCUGACACAGCCAUGCCGCGUGAGUGAAGAAGGCCUUAGGGUUGUAAAGCUCUUUCAGAUGUGAGGAUGAUGACGAUAGCAUCACAAGAAGCUCCGGCUAACUUCGUGCCAGCAGCCGCGGUAAUACGAAGGGAGCAAGCGUUGUUCGGAAUUACUGGGCGUAAAGGGCGUGUAGGCGGAUUAUCAAGUUAGGGGUGAAAUCCCGGGGCUCAACCUCGGCACUGCCUUUAAGACUGAUAAUCUAGAGUAUGUGAGGGGAUAAUGGAAUACCUAGUGUAGAGGUGAAAUUCGUAGAUAUUAGGUGGAACACCAGUGGCGAAGGCGAUUAUCUGGCACAUUACUGACGCUGAGGCGCGAAAGCGUGGGGAGCAAACGGGAUUAGAUACCCCGGUAGUCCACGCCGUAAACGAUGUAUACUAGUUGUCGGGCAUUGGUUCGGUGACGCAGCUAACGCAUUAAGUAUACCGCCUGGGGAGUACGGUCGCAAGAUUAAAACUCAAAGAAAUUGACGGGGACCCGCACAAGCGGUGGAGCAUGUGG
rnacentral:rRNA from 1 species